GCCCCUGUUGUCUAAUGGUUAUGACGUCAGACUUCUACCAUAGUUCAUCUGGAGGUUGCGGGUUCGAGUCCCGCCAGGGGUU